CACGUAGGGCGCGAGCGUUGUCCGGAAUUAUUGGGCGUAAAGAGCUCGUAGGCGGCCUGUUGCGUCCGCUGUGAAAGCCCGGGGCUUAACCCCGGGUCUGCAGUGGAUGCGGGCAGGCUAGAGGUAGGUAGGGGAGAAUGGAAUUCCCGGUGUAGCGGUGAAAUGCGCAGAUAUCGGGAGGAACACCAGUGGCGAAGGCGGUUCUCUGGGCCGUACCUGACGCUGAGGAACGAAAGCCUGGGGAGCAAACAGG
rnacentral:rRNA from 1 species